CGAUAUUAGGCACAAGGGGAAAAAGGAAAAAAAAAAAAAACCCAAGGGACAGAUCUGGGGAACGAAGGGGCUGGGAAUCACACAAAAAACAGAGCUAUCUUCUUCCUCACGAAGAAUCAACCAAAUUCAUCAAAAAAAGAAUAAAAAAAAAAGCUUCACUUGUUUUCAGCUAUCUUCUUCCUUUCCCAAGCGCCAAAACACAAAGUUUCAACACCAUGUAAAUCCUCCAUAGCCUAUUGCAUCCAUCAAUGAAAGAAACUCCAUUGCUUCACCAUUAAACCAUCACAAAUCAGCCCCAAAAUCACCAGAAAAACACCUCGUGUAAACCACUUGAAGCCAUCUUAAAUUCAAGCGAAACCUCGUUCUAGAGUUCCGGUGGAAACAGAGGUGAGUGAACGAGCAGCUGCUGGUCACUUGCGACUCGAGCCGACGAGCUUUCCGUUAGCAGAUCCGAGGUGCCGAUUCAAGCCCGUUGAGUGAAGGCGAGGUUCAGCGGAGUCGUCAUGUUCCGUUCGAGGCUUCCGAUUGCUGGUCCGGUCAACAGUAGCUCAUCCCACUUGUGUGAAGGUUCACUUUGAGUUGCAAUUUAAAAUUUGCUCAAGCUGUCUUUAUAAAUCUUGGAAGAAUUGAAUGGGGAAGAAGAGCUAUGUGAUUUCCUUUUUGCUGGGUUUGUGAGAAGUCGUAUGUUCAAGCUGUCGUAAUUCCAGAUUGAAGCUGCUUUUGCGUAGAAACGUCUGUGCCUCACCUUCGAAACCAAGUUGGACUCGGAAAACAAUACAAAAAAAAAAAAAAAAAGCCGCAAACACACAUGAAGGGACGACAGUCUCAUUAAAAACGAAAGAGAAGACCAGCCUCAAAAGAAAAUUAAUCCAGCUUCGGUAAGCUUUCUAUCCAGCUUUCAAUAUGUGUAGGUGUAAAUUAAGCUUUAUAUUUGAUAUGUACAUGUUAUUGGUUGGAAUAAUCUGAAUCGAAAGGAGUGCUAAUGUUUGUUUUAUCAAUGAUGUUUUUUGUGUUUCCAUCUUCAAAUGAAGUAGCCUCAGCUA